CCAGUUGAUCAAAACACGACAGGCAACAACACAGUGGAAAAUGACUUGUAUGAAGGGUCACGCGAUGUCCAACCAAUGAUCGCAGCUGAGAAUCAGGAGGAUGACUUUAUGUUGUCAGAUGCAUACGCGAGUGCUGACCUGCCAGUGACGAACACGUGCACACCACGGGAGGAGGUUCCAUCUGAUGACGUCAACUUAGAGAACCUCUCACCAGUUUAUCAAAACACGACAGGCAAUAUCACAGGUA